CGCUGCGUCCCCCCCCUGCAGUGCUGGGGCCCUCCUCUCCUCCUGGAGUCACAGUCCUGCUGCCCCCCCCUGAACCCCCCCGGCCUCCUGACCCGGCCGUGGAGGUCCCUGAACUUCUGAUGCCCCCGGCAGACGUGACCCCGGCGGCGGCGGAGGAGGUGACCCCCUCCAGGAGUCACAACGAGGCCUUUAUGCAACAUCUGCAACAGCAAACACUCGGCUCUCCCAUCACAUGCGAGCUGCUGGCUGCAGCGCUGGAGCCACUCGCCCCCCCGGAGGCCAAUGAGAGAGAGACUCAUCCUCAGACUCAUGCAGGUUCCGGGCAGGACGCUGCCGCCGUGAUGUCCGGCCAGCGUGCGGACGCCUCUCCGCUUCCCUCAGACCCAGAGGACACGCCUCUGAUGUGCCCCCCCCCUCCCAUUCAGGUCUCAGAGAGAGCAGCUCCGACCAGCUUCUCCCCUCAGACUCUGUCCGAUCGUUCAGCCCCACAGCCUCACCUCGAGCCCCAGCUCCAGCUCCCUCCCCAGCUCCAGCUCCCUCCCCAGCUUCAGGUCCAGGUCCCUCACCAGCUCCAGGUCUCUCCCCAGCUCCAGCUCCCUCCCCAGCUCCAGGUCUCUCCCCAGCUCCCUCCCCAGCUCCAGCUCCAGCUCCAGCUCCCUCCCCAGCUCCAGCUCCCUCCCCAGCUCCAGCUCCAUGUCCAGGUCCCUCCCCAGCUCCAGCUCCCUCCCCAGCUCCAGGUUCAGAUCCCUCCCCAGCUCCAGCUCCCUCCCCAGCUCCAGGUCCCUCCCCAGCUCCAGCUCCAGGUCCCGUCGUUCGUCCCCCAGCCGGCGUCCUCCUCGGUCUGCGCUUCAGUCCACAGCAGCCCCCCCCCUCCGCCUGAUCCCUCGGCCGCGUCUGAAAGUCUCUCCAGAGGAGGGCCCCCCCCCGCUGUCCCACAGCACACAGCACACAGUGAGUUUCAGUCCGUGCGUCACAUGUGAUGAUUGUGAUGGCGAUGGUUCAUCGUUGUUUCCCUCUCAGAGCCGACAGCUGCCUUGUUCGUGGAGAGCGAAGCGUUCGCCCUCGAUGUCCAGCCGCCCUCUCCCGCAGCACAGGGUGUCCAGGAGCACGGGCCCCCGGCGCCCGCAGAGCGCGGCCCCAUACGGAUGAGCCGGCACGCCGGCUGCAAGGUGAGACGGAGCUCAGGUCUGUGGUCAGAUUAAAGAUCUGAAACUAAAGCUGCACAAACUCUGAACAAACACACGAGCAGAACAUCUGACGCUGAUUAAGAAUUUAAAUGAAUGAAGUCUCAUCUUUAAGUGAGUUCAGAAAUACUAUGUGUGUCU
rnacentral:lncRNA from 1 species